rnacentral:rRNA from 1 species
GAUGAACGCUGGCGGCGUGCUUAACACAUGCAAGUCGAACGGAAAGGCUCCUGCUUGCAGGGGCACUCGAGUGGCGAACGGGUGAGUAACACGUGGGUGAUCUGCCCUGCACUUCGGGAUAAGCCUGGGAAACUGGGUCUAAUACCGGAUAGGACCAUCGUUUAGUGUCGGGGGUGGAAAGUUUUUUCGGUGUGGGAUGGGCUCGCGGCCUAUCAGCUUGUUGGUGGGGUAAUGGCUUACCAAGGCGCCGACGGGUAGCCGGCCUGAGAGGGUGUACGGCCACAUUGGGACUGAGAUACGGCCCAGACUCCUACGGGAGGCAGCAGCGGGGAAUAUUGCACAAUGGGCGCAAGCCUGAUGCAGCGACGCCGCGUGGGGGAUGACGGCCUUCGGGUUGUAAACUCCUUUCGCCAGGGACGAAGCGAAAGUGACGGUACCUGGAUAAGAAGCACCGGCUAACUACGUG